rnacentral:tRNA from 4 species
AGAAACUUAAGUUAUAUAAAACUAGGAGCCUUCAAAGCCCCCAAAAAAGUUACUUUAGUUUCUG